GACAUAUGACUCUUUUUACAGAAUUGCCACGCUUCGGUUCCACGUUUUGAAGACUUCCGCUUUCUAUGGCCUGAAUUUUAAUACACCCGAAGAUAAGCUGCUCUUUGGCCAUAGCGGAACAUCAAAAGUCAUGAGUCCAGCGCAGACACCUGAAGAAACCAUGAAGAUUGAGACACAGAACAACACCCUCGCAACUUACUUUAGGCGAAGAACCAUACUAAAAUUUUAGGCUCGUUAAUCUAAUACUAUUAACAGAUUCUCGAACCCAAGACGAAUCCAAUCCGGUCGUUAAACUCAAAAAAAAUUUUUUUUUUUUAUUCAAUAACAAGUUACAUUUUUAGCAGAUAUUGGAGCUCUUGAACUAAGUCUAGGGAGACCUGUACAUCAGGGUACUCCGCUCUUCCAAUAAUAUAUCUAAGUUACUAUAACUUAACAAUAAUUGAAACCAAAAUACUACAUAAUAAAGAAAAACAGAAAUCUAAGACUAAUUACUAAACUAAGGAUACAGGUUUACAUUUGUACGCACCAGAAUGAUAAUCUUAGAAAACUUUUCACAAGUUUUCCUUGAAAACGUAAAUAAUAAAAAAGAACAAGGUAUUUCCCCUG